AUCACGCUUGCUUGCUUAGCGAGUACCACUUCGGACCAUACCUGGAGCGAGCUCAGAUCCUCUGCCUUGCUAGCUAGCACAAGUAACCACUCUCCUGAAGAGUCUUACCAGUCAACGCCACAUGAAAAGAUAGCUGAAGCCUGAAGUGGGGACCCUUCAGGCUGAGGAGACAGAACAUGGACACAAUGCAAUUGCGAUCAAGGAGAAGAAAUGCCGAAGUAUCUGGAUGGUCAGUGGAGGAUGUCUGCCAGUGGCUUCAGCAAAAUCAGUUGGCGGACUUACACCUCUCCUUUCCAAAGUUUUACAUUUAAAUACAUCAAUUGCAUGCAAGGUCCAACCAAAACCUGAUUUCCGCUUUUAACGCAACUACCGUGUAGCUCUUGUUAUGGGGGUGUUUUAACUGCCUUACUCAAGGACAGAAGAACAGAUUUUUUCACCUUGUCGGCUGGACAAUUCGAAUGCUUUAAAUCCUAGGCUACCUGCCAGUCAAAAUGACUGCUUUGUAUAACUGCCUAAUAUGGAACACGCAUUUUUUUUUGCUCAUAAAACAGAUUUGCCACAUUGGUCUGUAUCACCAGAGUGAAUACUGGAGCAAUACUGCUGUAAAGAAAUGGGAAUGGUUAGACUGAGUGAGAUACAUCUGAGUGGUGAAGAACAGGACAGAGGCAGUUUUCAAUACAUACAAUACCUGACCUUUUGAAGAAGGUGGCACAAAAUGAAGAUGUUUGGGCAAGCUUAAAUAAAGAAGAAGAACAUGCCAAUGAUAAAAUCUUGAGUGAUUUCACAGAUGAGGGAUUUUUCAAGAGCAAUCCCUUGCUCAAGCAAAAACAAACAAUGUGACUUCAUUUUUAUAUAGAUGAAUUUGAGGUUGUCAAUCCACUUGGAUCAAUAAAAGGAAAACAAUAUUUCAGCUGUGUACAGUUGAAGUCGGAAGAUUACAUACAUCUUAGUUUUCCACAAUUCCUGACAUUUAAUCCUAGUAAAAAUUCCCUGUCUUAGGUCAGUUACAAUCACCAAUUUAUUUUAAGAAUGUGAAAUAUCAGAAUAAUAGUUGAGAGAAUGAUUUAUUUCAGCUUUUAUUUAUUUCAUCACAUUCUCAGUGGGUCCGAAGUUUACAUACACUUAGUAUUUGGUAGCAUUGCUUUUAAAUUGUUUAACUUGAGUCAAACGUUACAGGUAGCCAACCACAAGCUUCCCACAAUAAAUUGGGUGAAUUUUGGCCCAUUCCUCUUGACAGAGCUGGUGUAACUGAGUCAGGUUUGUAGGCCUCCUUGCUCGCAUGCUCUUUUUAAGUUCUGCCCACACAUUUUCUAUGUGAUUGAGGUCAGGGCUUUGUAAUGGCCACUCCAAUACCUUGACUUUGUUGUCCUUAAGCCAUAACUUUGGAAGUAUGCUUGGAGUCAUUGUCCAUUUGGAAGACCCAUAUGCGACCAAGCUUUAACUUCCUGACUGAUGUCUUGAGAUGUUGCUUCAAUAUAUCCACAUAAUUUUCCUACCUCAUGAUGCCAUCUAUUUUGUGAAGUGCACCAGUCCCUCCUGCAGCAAAACACCCCCACAACAUGAUGCUGCCACCCCUGUGCUUCACGGUUGGGAUGGUGUUAU